rnacentral:rRNA from 1 species
GACGAACGCUGGCGGCGUGCUUAACACAUGCAAGUCGAACGGAAAGGCCCUGCUUUUGUGGGGUGCUCGAGUGGCGAACGGGUGAGUAACACGUGAGUAACCUGCCCUUGACUUUGGGAUAACUUCAGGAAACUGGGGCUAAUACCGGAUAGGAGCUCCUGCUGCAUGGUGGGGGUUGGAAAGUUUCGGCGGUUGGGGAUGGACUCGCGGCUUAUCAGCUUGUUGGUGGGGUAGUGGCUUACCAAGGCUUUGACGGGUAGCCGGCCUGAGAGGGUGACCGGCCACAUUGGGACUGAGAUACGGCCCAGACUCCUACGGGAGGCAGCAGUGGGGAAUAUUGCACAAUGGGCGGAAGCCUGAUGCAGCAACGCCGCGUGCGGGAUGACGGCCUUCGGGUUGUAAACCGCUUUCGCCUGUGACGAAGCGUGAGUGACGGUAAUGGGUAAAGAAGCACCGGCUAACUACGUGCCAGCAGCCGCGGUGAUACGUAGGGUGCGAGCGUUGUCCGGAUUUAUUGGGCGUAAAGGGCUCGUAGGUGGUUGAUCGCGUCGGAAGUGUAAUCUUGGGGCUUAACCCUGAGCGUGCUUUCGAUACGGGUUGACUUGAGGAAGGUAGGGGAGAAUGGAAUUCCUGGUGGAGCGGUGGAAUGCGCAGAUAUCAGGAGGAACACCAGUGGCGAAGGCGGUUCUCUGGGCCUUUCCUGACGCUGAGGAGCGAAAGCGUGGGGAGCGAACAGGCUUAGAUACCCUGGUAGUCCACGCUGUAAACGGUGGGUACUAGGUGUGGGGUCCAUUCCACGGGUUCCGUGCCGUAGCUAACGCUUUAAGUACCCCGCCUGGGGAGUACGGCCGCAAGGCUAAAACUCAAAGGAAUUGACGGGGCCCCGCACAAGCGGCGGAGCAUGCGGAUUAAUUCGAUGCAACGCGUAGAACCUUACCUGGGUUUGACAUGGAUCGGGAGCGCUCAGAGAUGGGUGUGCCUCUUUUGGGGUCGGUUCACAGGUGGUGCAUGGCUGUCGUCAGCUCGUGUCGUGAGAUGUUGGGUUAAGUCCCGCAACGAGCGCAACCCUUGUUCACUGUUGCCAGCACGUUAUGGUGGGGACUCAGUGGAGACCGCCGGGGUCAACUCGGAGGAAGGUGGGGAUGACGUCAAGUCAUCAUGCCCCUUAUGUCCAGGGCUUCACGCAUGCUACAAUGGCUGGUACAGAGAGUGGCGAGCCUGUGAGGGUGAGCGAAUCUCGGAAAGCCGGUCUUAGUUCGGAUUGGGGUCUGCAACUCGACCUCAUGAAGUCGGAGUCGCUAGUAAUCGCAGAUCAGCAACGCUGCGGUGAAUACGUUCCCGGGGCU